CGCGGGGUGGAGCAGUUUGGUAGCUCGUCGGGCUCAUAACCCGAAGGUCGUAGGUUCGAAUCCUACCCCCGCUA
rnacentral:tRNA from 1 species